UACAGAGGUCUCAAGCGUUGUUCGGAUUCAUUGGGCGUAAAGGGUGCGUAGGUGGCGCCGUAAGUCGGGUGUGAAAUUUCGGAGCUUAACUCCGAAACUGCAUUCGAUACUGCGGUGCUUGAGGACUGGAGAGGAGACUGGAAUUCAUGGUGUAGCAGUGAAAUGCGCAGAUAUCAGGAGGAACACCGGUGGCGAAGGCGGGUCUCUGGGCAAUAACUGACGCUGAGGAGCGAAAGCGUGGGGAGCGAACAGG
rnacentral:rRNA from 1 species